rnacentral:rRNA from 1 species
UACGUAGGGUGCAAGCGUUGUCCGGAAUUAUUGGGCGUAAAGAGCUCGUAGGCGGUUUGUCGCGUCUGCUGUGAAAACUCGGGGCUUAACCCCGGGCCUGCAGUGUGUACGGGCAGACUAGAGUGCGGUAGGGGAGACUGGAAUUCCUGGUGUAGCGGUGAAAUGCGCAGAUAUCAGGAAGAACACCCGUGGCUAAGGCGGCUCUCUAGUACGGUACUGACGCUGAGACGCGAAAGCGUGGGGAGCGAACAGG